GAUGAACGCUGGCGGCGUGCCUAAUACAUGCAAGUCGAGCGAACAGAUUAGGAGCUUGCUCCUCUGACGUUAGCGGCGGACGGGUGAGUAACACGUGGAUAACCUACCUAUAAGACUGGGAUAACUUCGGGAAACCGGAGCUAAUACCGGAUAAUAUAUUUAACCGCAUGGUUCAAUAGUGAAAGACGGUUUUGCUGUCACUUAUAGAUGGAUCCGCGCCGCAUUAGCUAGUUGGUAAGGUAACGGCUUACCAAGGCAACGAUGCGUAGCCGACCUGAGAGGGUGAUCGGCCACACUGGAGCUGAGACACGGUCCAGACGCCUACGGGAGGCAGCAGUAGGGAAUCUUCCGCAAUGGGCGAAAGCCUGACGGAGCAACGCCGCGUGAGUGAUGAAGGUCUUCGGAUCGUAAAACUCUGUUAUUAGGGAAGAACAAAUGUGUAGGUAACUAUGCACGUCUUGACGGUACCUAAUCAGAAAGCCACGGCUAACUACGUG
rnacentral:rRNA from 1 species